GUCUCCUCACGAGUAUAGAAUUUACUGCAAUUUCAAACCCUGCAUUUAUAUUUUCACUUGUAUGAUUUCGCUUUUUAUGGAAAAGUCAUUUAGGCUGAAGAUAAGUCACAAAGCAAACCUAAAUUUUUUAGGUUUACAAUAAAUGCAUACAUUAAUUUAGGUUCAACAGCUUUUUCUUGAGGUGCCAUGCUAUCAGCAUUGUGGCAUGGCCUGAAUAAUUCACCAAUAAUUCAAAGAUGCUUGGAAGUGUCAGAAUUUUCUGCACACAAAUAGCAGAAGUCUUGUUGGAUGAAAAGGAAAUGAAGGUAAGGUGGAUUUUUCCAACUAUCUACCACACAGUGAGAUAGAAAAGUAUUAUCAUAUUCAGUGCUACUUUAAUUAUUGAUGGACAGCUCAAAUAUCUUUCAUCUCUUCUGCAAAGAAUAUAAAUCUAUUUUUUCUUGUUCAAACUGAUCCAAUUUAUAAGGUUGGCAAUGUUUGCUACUCCACGUUUGUAUUUGCUGAAAAGGAACUUAAAUUCUCUUAAUAUUUAAUACUAUUUCUGAGCUUCCUAGUAUAAAAGGAGGAUCUUUUCCAAAAAAAAUGACACAACAUUGUUGUUCUAAACACUGUUUCACCAAUCCUGUAUAUUUCUUAAAUGCAUAACCUUUCCAAAAUGGAAAUUCUCCUCUUAAAAAAUAUACUACAAUUUGCUCCACAAAAAAGUUGUUUGCUUGCUUUAUCCCAGGAGGAGCUCAAGUAGUAUUUGUGUAGCUUUUCUUCGUGUAUGUCAAACUUUUUUGCUUCCUUCUCCAACAGGAGAUAAAAAGAGAAACUCAGGAUCUCCAGAAUCCUUUUGUUUGAAAGGUGUUUGGAAAAUGAGAGGGAAAAGUGAAGAAACUUGAGUGUCCUUCAACAGAGACUUGAAAAUUCCUGCAAGCUACUAUUUCCACUUUGAUGUGAGAGUUAAGAAUGGACAUCUCAGACUACCUAAUGCAAUGGGAAGCAAGUAAUUCCAAGCAUUCCCAUGCUAUCAGGCGGAGGGAAAUUGAGUGCAGUGGUUUUAGAGCAACGUGACUUUGGGGCUGUGGUGUUUUUAUGACUGUCAGGAGGUCUCCAGGAACAUUGUUUCAUGCUUCUUCCUAGGAGAACCUUUGAAAACAUAGCAUCAUAGAAUGGUUUGGGUUGGAAGAUCAUCCAGUUCCAACCUCCCUACCAUGGACAGGGCACCUUCCACUAAACCAGGUUUUUCAGGGCCCUGUCCAACCUAUCCAUACUCGGGUCUUUAACCAAAGAGUGUCAUUUGUUGUGUAUCGUACUGCUGGCAAACAUCCCAGCCUACAAAAAAUACUCCUGUGGGAAAUCUCUCAAUAAAAACUUUCCAGCCCCUUUUGUUUUCAGCAGAAGGAGGAGCAGGAACUCAUCAAUGUGGAGAGGCAGCAAAGCUGCACCAUCACUGCAUUCAAGUUGGAUUAAGUGCUCUGAAUUGAGCUCUGGAGAAAGCAAAGGCAACAAGUCUGGUUCUAAACUCUCAUCAAACGGCUCCGCAGAGAUGAGAAUUAUUUUCAUUGUGCAUGCAGAAAGCAGCACCCUGAACACCACUGAGAGGGCACAGAGCCUUCUGACACCACAGAGGAGAGAAAAACCUGUUUCUUGCUGGUAGAGUCUCAGUGAAAAUAUUCAUCAAAGGAAAUUUAUAAUGCACUGACAUUGAGCAAAAGACCAAAGAUGAUGCUGGAUCUUCUGAAAGAGGUGAAUGAAGAGUGGAAGUUCUGACAGCAUUUGACGAAUGAUGGAGGUGAAAGAUCUAAAGGCUGGGACCAUCAGCUGCACCAGCCUUGAGGAGGCAUUUGAGUCGUGGUCCAGCCAGCCACUCCGGUUCUUUUUCCCAUCCAUGAGCUUGAGGGAUUUCAGGGU